GCAGGCACUUUGUUCACUGGAUGCUAUAGUGCCCUGGGCACUGGGUUCCCGGGAGGGUGCAGUUCCGCGGACACUGGCUUCACUGGAGGGUGCAGUGGCAUUAAACCAUUACAAAUGAUGUCAUUACGUUAAUAAAUUCGGUUUCUUUCUUCAGUCACAAGAAAGGAGGAGGAAAAGAUUUCUUUGUAUCCCAGGCCCUGUCAUUAAAACCUUUCCCAAUGUGGACAACAGGUUUAGUUGCCCAGGCACCUUCAGUGUCUCAGCUGAGCGACCAGGGCCUUGCACAUUGCAAAAAUUCCCAUGAUGGCCAACAGAGAGAGCUCGAGCACCACAGACCCGGAGAGGCGGGUUCCUCUGCCCAGGCAGUGAUGGCCAGCAGAAGGCGCACCAUCGGCUUUUCUGACCCAGGGCACCUGAGAGCAGGAAGGGCUUUGAUUGCUCCCAGAGUACUCAGGGCCUCUGCCGCUGCCUGAGUACAGAGAGCAGAGCUGCAUUUCCAGCAGGUUGUGCCGCCCGCCCCAGGGGAGAUCUUGGGAGCUUUGUAGCAACUUGGCAUCUCCUGAGUCGCCAGAGAGAAUUUGUCUUAUUGUACUGAGUGCUGAGGAAUGGGCGCUGGGUGGCUUCCCUGGGCAAGCUAGUUGCUGAGAUGCACAGACCCUUGCAUUUUCUGGGCUGUUCCCAUGUUUCAUUCCUCCCCUUCCUGGACAGUAUUUGAACAAGACAUAUUUUACUAAAGGUCUUGUGGAUUGCGGAGUCCCACGACAUCACCUCAUCGAUGCAGUCGAUGGUUUGUUCCAGAUUCAGGCUUGUUUCCGGGAAGAAACCCCGACAGAAAUUCAGAAGAACAGGAGCUGCAUUCCGUUAGGACAUGAAUACAUGAAAUGCUCGUCUUGGCAACUCCUAGAAGAAUGAGCUGGGACCCACUUUCCGAGUCCUGCUAGAACCAGAGACCAAGAAAAUAAAAACGCCCUGGAAGACAAGUGUAAUGCAUUGAGGUCUGUGAAAGCCACAAAGGAAGCAAAAGUCAAACAGCUGAAGGAGAAAGCACAUAACCUGGAAGAAUUCUAUGAACAAAGAAAAGUGCCUACAAAAAAAGAAGCUGAAAAUGACACUGUGAACUGGCGGCAAAGAAGAAUCAGCUAGCAGCUGCAGAUCUCAAGUAGUGACCAGACUGUGUGGAAACUUUGUCCAUGCUAACAUUCCUCGGGGGUGGUGUCAAUUGUCAUCAUCUGUAGGAAAGCAGUGUGUCGUACAAUGAAUCAUACCCAUCAACGUGGUAGUGCCAUUUCAUGGCCCUCGUCUUUGCAACCCUGGGAAACAUGGCAACAAAUUGAACAAACACGGGAACAGCUGCAGCAGGCAGAGCUCACCUUUAGAUACCAGUUCACGAGAAGAAUGCUCAGGACAACUAGAUCAAGACUCAGAUCUGGGACAGGGAGAUGGCGGAGCAGGGCAGGGAGGUCGCUUACUUGAAAUACAGGUGUGGUCAUUUGACUUGGGUGUUUCCAGGGAUGACGCCUGCACUGUUAGUUGUCUAGUAGACGACGUGGUGUUGCAACUCUUAUAGAAGUCCAUUAUUUUUCUGUAUCCAAGACUGGACGGGAUGGAAGCAAAGAGGCUGCCUGAGGGAUACACGAGGCAGAAACCAAUCACUGCAAGAACCCUCCAAGGCGAGGGUCUUUAGUAGAUCGAGAAACUGCUGAAACCUCUGUGGGUUACAGCGGCUCUGACUGUACCAAGAAUGCAGACAAGGGCAAGGGCAGUCUGGAUCCUGGGGACCUCCUCCGUUAACUGGACGAUUCUGCAUGCCCUACCCUGGAGACGCCCCACCCCCAUGGACUAUUAGGCACAUACACCUCCUGAACCUUGGCAGCCCUGGGGCCACCCGAAACCCCUCCACCUGCAACACUUGGUAAGACGAUCUGAGCACUAGGAGUUGACUUUUAAAACACACUCACCUUAUUUUUGUUGCUGUUAGGUCUUGGGCCAAGGUGCAGAAGCGGUACCACAGACCAUUGUGAUGCAAGGGGCCGUAUGCAGAAAAUCAGACAUAGCGCUUCAGCAGAAAUGCCCUGUACACAGUCCACGUGCUGGGAUCUGUGAGUAACGUAUGUCCAUCUAGUUGUGCCCCCAGCCAUCCAUAGUUGUUCGAUGAGUGAUGAAUACAUCUGAGUCAGGGCUUUUAGGAGUCUUCAUCAAGUUAUAAGGGAUGGUUCUUCAAGUUCUUCUUGGGGAUCACCGGAGGCAUGUGGGACACCCUGUGCAUGUAAUUUGGGAUCACACUGGGACAAAGAGUUUAAGUUGUCGGAAGUAUGAGGGGAGGGUUUUUUGUUUUGUUUUUGACCUCCAAACAGUCUACUCAAGUCAGAAUAAACCUCCAUCCCUUCUAGGGCUUUUUGCAGGUCCAGAAGUAGGUGUCACAACCAAGAGUGACAUCGACACUGACUCUGCCAAAACUGCCAAGAAGCACAAAGUAAAUGCUGUGGCGAUUUUCAGUUCUAAGUCUUUACGGACCGCCACAUCUUUCUGUACAGGACACUCUCCUGCCAUUGUCUCUGGUUUGUGUGUCGUAUGGUCUGUCUGCUGUUUUUGUUGGUUUUUUUUCCCCAAAUGCAAAACCUUUACUGCCGAGUCUACGGGCUUCCCUGUUUCCCAGCUGGCAUCUGUUUGUGGUAACUUGAGCAGCUAAGAGUGCCUCAAGGUAGGGACCAUAGGGCUUUUCUAAUGUGUUCCUGGAAUAAAUCAAGGAGGAUGACACCACAUUCCACUUGGAAGUCUCCUACCUUGCCUCAUUCUUUGUGGAUCUCCUCAUUGUGGAAUCAUUGCUCUUGCUGUGUCUGCCUCUCCUGUUUCCUUCUAUUGAGGAUUUUAACGUGCUCAGAAAAAUCUGUGGGCAUCGUUAAAAUUUGAAAAUGCGAACUGCCUUCACUCCAACUUACAUUUUUGUAUGUGUCCUUUAGAAUGUAAAUUUCAUACCCAUCAGCAUGUGGGUAAACAUGCUGUCCAGAAUCCCUUCAGGUGUGCCCUGGGCACAAACACUCUGAACUAUAAGAGGUGGCAUGUUUGUGAUAGAAAACAUGCACUGAAACUUCAGUUGUGAAGAGAAAAAAUCCAAAAUUACCUGUGUGGCAAGUCCCCACGGUGUCCUUCACUUGUGUUCACAUGAGCACGUUCUCUCGUGUCCUGUGUCACAGGUACAGCUAAAACAUGGAAACUUACAGCAGACAUCAAAGUGCAUUUGUGUUAACUUUGUCUUUUAGAAUUUCAGCUCAUUUUUCCAGAGGACACAAUUACCCUGCAAAGUGUACUGCACUUAAGCUGAGAAGUACCUCCGAAGUAAAAUAACUUAGCUGAACCCAACUAACAGGCUAUUUUGUAUGCAAGAGUCCUGGUCCUUUCCCAGGAUUGCCUUGCAGGCUGUGCCCCGCGGACCACCCUUCACCACCAGUCAUGGGCUAUAGGCCACAUCCCCUCCUCCACUUACUCUAUUUGUUAAGAUGACCUGAACUGGCUGAGUGGCUGGACAACUCUUUUGAAAUUGAAGAGGACUGUGCACGGUGACAGACAAUCGUGUUUGCAUAUACAUUUUCAGAAGGUGUCAGAUCUACCUGAAUGCUUUCCCUGCCCAUCCUGUCCCCUCCACUUUGUCCUUCCUACUGUCCCCUAAUCUACGUUUCAUCGUUUUGUCUCUGUGUCAGCGUCUGCUUCUAGGGCUAUCUACUCUCUCUCCCCAUUGAGUGCACACAGUGGGGUUCCUGUACACACAGGAAACAAAGUGCCAGAAAUGGUGGUGAGAGAGGAUAGAAGCAAGAUCACCCUUUGUGCAGGGGAGCCUGAGGGAGUUUUCCGGGGCGAUGGGAACUACCUAUAUCUAGAUUGAUGGGGUGCUUAUGCUCAAUUAUUUUGGAAAUAUUCCCUGACUCCAUGGUGCCUUGGGGUCAGAUAGGUAUCUGUCCUUAGGAAAUGGCUGAGUUCUAAUGGUGGAGAAGGAUGAGGGACCAGCAGUGACUGUGGUAGAGGAGUGAGGGUCAGACCCAUGCCCAGAAUGCCAGGUCUCCACAGACAGCACCACUUGUAGGAGGACUCUGAGGAGCAGAGAUUUCUUGAUCAAACCCAUGAACUACAUAAUCCUGCUGUAGUUUCCUCACUGAGCGAUGGCCAGAACAGAGGCCAGCAGCUGGAGGACACCCUGAUCAUGGCUAAAGUGGAGGAGUAGGCCUGGGGGAUUGAGUCAGGGAAAGGGACUGGCAGAAGGUAGUGACAGGGAGUUUGAGAGACAAAUGGAAGAGAAGAGAAGGGACCCUUCUCUGCUGACUUCACCUACAUUUCUGUGUGACCAAAACGAGACCCUUGUCUCCCAGGGAAGGGAAGAGGGCUGGCAAAAAGACAGAGUGACAUACUCAGCUCAAGUGCCCAGGGUAUCUGCCUUACUCUUGAGGACCUAACACAGGAAGCACGUGCUUUCUGUCAUGAUUGGAACUGCAGCUCGUACCAUUUAGUGAAAAUCAAUCCAACUAUGCAUCCCUCAGCAUUAAAGUACUCCAACAAAAUUAAGUGAACAGACUGAAAGAUACAACACAGGAUAAAGUCCAAAGGUAGAUUGACAGCAAUACUUACGGGAAUACAGUCUAUCCGAAAAGGAGGUAGGUACCCUAGUGCAGCUCUUCAGACACCUGGCUGAUAUCUGAAAACAUAAAAAAAAAAAAAAAAGUCCUUACUCCAAAAGCAACAUUAGCGCUAGACACAAAGGGAUCAUGAUUAAGUUUUAGAGAGCAACCAUAUGACUUCAUGGUGCUGUAUCCAUGAGAACAAGUCUCAUCAAAUUAUACCCUUUAAUUUGAGGCUCUUUGUUAGAUGUAAAUUAUACCUCAUUAAAGAGAGUUUCAAAGCACAAAAUACUAGAAGCAAAUGUGGGAACGUUCCUUUCUAAUCCUGAAGUGCAUGGGUGAGAUGAGUCUGUCUGCCCAUGUCUCAAAAAUCCAAAAUAAUACACUUAAAAAAUUAAUAAUAGCAGACCCUGAGCUCACGCUGUCCCAUGUUUUCAACUGCAUAACAUCCACAUCCAAGUCCAUGAACCAGCGAGGGAUCCAAGACUGGCACAACAAACUCCACACCUAAAUAGAAGCUGCAGCAGGAAGGUUAGGAAGGUCAGAAAGUUGGAGGCUGGCUGCCUGCAGAAGGAGCAGAGAAAGUGAGCCCUCACACAGGGGAGCUGACACAGGGAAGACUAACCUCCAUAACAUUUGGCAUUAAAACCCAGAGGGGCUGAAUUCCCUUGAGUUUACAUCCUGGUGCUUUGGAGGUCAGCCGACCCAGCACCGGGUGAUCCAGAAGGAUGAGUGAUAGCCACGUCCCUGCCUGUGUAGAGACGCAACGUAAACAUGGCAUUUCACACAAUGCUUAGGCCACAGGAGACACAUGUAUUCAUGCUGAUUCUUGACUCAGCUGGCCUGCCUGGGUCCCACUGACACCACUGAGAGCAAGCAGAGCCCACAACAGACACGCAAUCAGUGCAGACCCCUGCACUGAAAGGAAAAGUAACCCAGACACAACAGCAGGGAGUGAGCAAUACCCAUACGAUAUCCUCCUGAAGGUCCAGGGCCUAUAAAUGGAGACGUGCACUGCUGAGGACUCCAGGACCUCUUUUUCAUAACGGCAUUAAUUUCAAGAUCAGAAGGCACAGCUGACUUUCUUAACACAGAGAAAUAGAGCCAGAGAGACAGACAAAAUGGGCACACAGAGAUGUUUUAUCUACAAUGAAAGACCUAGUCAAAGCCACAGCCAGAGAUCUAAGCCAAAGAGAUAUAAGUAACAUACCUGAUACAGAAUUUAAAGGAAUUAUCAUAAGGAUACUCACUGGAGUUGUGAAAUGAGUAGAAGAGUGAGACCCCUGACAUAGAGAUAAGAAAUAACACAGUAGACAUUGAGGACACAAUAAAGGAGAAACAUGCUUGCUGGAAUGAACAGAGGGAUGGAAGAAGCAGGCGAACAAACUAGUGCCCUCGAAGACUGAGUGAUGGAAAUGAAUCACAUUGAACCAAAGAGAGAGAACAGAAUUCUGCAACGUGAGAUGAGACUAAGGGAACUCAGUAACUACAGGAAAGAUAAUAGUAUUCGUAUUGUAGGAGUCCAGAAGGAAGAGAAAAGGGGGAAGAAAAUUUAUUUGAGGAAACAAUAGCUGAAAACUUCCCUAAUUGGGGGAGGGACACAAACAUCCACAUCCAGGAGACUAGAGAACUCCCAUCAAAAUCAGGCCAACACACAAACCUACUGUAAACAAACUUAAAUUAGGGUGAGAAUAAAGAAAAACUCGUAAAAGCAGCAAAACAGUCCUUAACUUACAAGGGAAGACCCAUGAGGCUAGCUACAUAUUUCUGAACAG